rnacentral:lncRNA from 1 species
GCCACCGCACUAGGCCAGUAGUCUUGACAUCUACUGCAAUAGUCCUAUAUAAAAUUUUUCUACCAAUUGAAAAAAAUCUCAGAAUUUUUUUUUCUUUAACAUACAUCUGUUUUUUUUUUCUUCUGCCAAAUAUAGAAUGCUUAGGUCAAACCCAUCAUAGGAAUUCUCAUACUCUUUGAAACAUGGUAUGGAAAUAAAUGAAAUACGUCCAUUCAAUAUUUGUGUCCUGAGUGGCAUAUCUGUGAAAGGUCCCAUGUGUACUCAUCACUUGGGAAUACAAACACCUUCAAGCUUGUGGACAUAAGAAAAUAAUACACAAAAAAAUAAAAAGCAUGAAGAAGAGAUCACAUAGACUCAAUAUCAGUAAAGAUUUUAUGAAGAAUUGGGAGAAUGUAUAGGAUAACAAAAGGGAGAGGUAGAGUAGAUUUCGCACAAAAAAUAAAAUUGCAGUGAUUCAAAACUGAGAUAUGUGAGUAGUAGAAUUUAACUAAAAUAUAGAAUUAGUGGGUGUUGGCGAUGGCACAUAAGAUCAAAAAGGUACAGCAUGCCUUUGCAAUAGAAUACACUGGAUGACUACAUGAGGAAUAUACCUCUGUCUCAGAGAAGAGUGGAUUUGAAUAUAAUAGAUAAGAUGUAAAUCUCUGUCAGUUACCGAAACAUUCCAGAAUUUCAUCUUUGUGCAUCUCAGUUUCCUCAUUCAUAGCAAAACCAAGUAUUUUCAAAGUUUAUUUCUGUGGUAAAACAAUAUGGUAAUGAUUGUGAGGUGCUUUGUAAAUUGCAAAACAUUAUUAUGCAACUGUAAAGGAUUAUUACUUCUUAAUUCACCAGGGAGCUCUUGAAGAAUUUUGAGAUGCUAAAGAGUAUAAUCUUAACCUUAUUUUAGAAAUCCAAGUUAUCUCCCUCUAACUUCGUCCAUUUAUUGGUCAAAGUUAGAGGGAGAUAGCACGGGAAUAAACAAGUCUAUUAUGUUGGUUCAAAUGAAAGAUAAGGAGAUUUGAAACACAGCUACAUGCAGCAUGGAGACAGAUUGUAUUGAAUGUAAGCAACUGAUUAGAAAUGAAACCAAAAGGAGAGAAAAAAAAAAUGACUCCAGGUUCCAACUUUGAUGAGAAUGUUGUCAUUAACAGAGAGAGAAACCCAUGAGAGAAAGGAUUUAGAAGAAAGAUAAUGAGUUUGACUUUGAAAGUACAGAUCUAAGGAUGUCACUGAGUUACAUAGGUAAAAAUGCCCAACAGAUACUUGAAAAUAAAGCCCAGGAGAGGACUCUGGGAUAUAGAUUUGAGAGUCAUUUAUUAGGCAUUUCUGGAAAGAUGAAUAAUAAUGUUUUGCAAUUUACAAAGCACCUCACAACCAUUAUCAUAUUGUUUUACCACAGAAAUAAACUUUGAAAAUAUUUGGUUUUGCUAUGAAUGAGGAAACAGAUGCACAAAGAUGAAAUUCUGGAAAGGUAAAAUUCAAAUGAUUAAUCAUUUAUUAGUAUCAGUUGACACAAUAGAAAUGAAUAUAGACAGUUGAAGGAUGAUGAGAAGAGGGCCUCAAUGAAGUGUGUGCAGUGAAGAGUUUGGCCUCACCCAAAUAUAAGUCUGGAGUUUGUCCUCAGCUGCUAGAUGGCAGCCUCUAAACACUUAGAAUUUUCAGAGUUAUGGAAAUAUCUUCAUUAUCUAAGGUGGACCCCUGAAACUAUACCUAUUUUAUGCUAAUAAGAUGAUUCUUGGUGAGGAUUAUCACACUCAGUAGUCUUAGAGUGGGGCCUGGCCACACCAUAAAGACCAACCAUAUAGUUUAGGAUAGCAACUAUGAACCACAUUAUAUCAUCUUAAUCUAAAAGUUGGUGGGGAGCUGCAGAUGGAGUUCAAAUAUGUAGGUAAUUAAUUAAUUAAUCAUGCCUAAAUAUGAAGCCUCAAUAAACUCUCUGGACAGCUCAGCUCAGCUCAGCCGAGCUUCUCUGGUUAGCAGUCCUCCAUGUGUAUGGUCACAUAUUGAUGCUGGAAAACAACAGAAGCUUUGCCUUUGGAACCCUCCCAGACUCUGACUUUGGUGUCUCUUCCUUUGGCUGGUUCUAAUUUGUAAUCUUUCUUUGUAAUAAGCAUGACUGUGAGCAUAAUAGCUUUCAAUGAGUUCUGUGAGUCUCCCUAGUGAAUUGUCAAACUUGAGAGUGGUUUUGGGAAAUCCCUGUACUUACAGUUGGGAUCAUAAGUCUUGGGAAACUUGUCUGUCCAGAGGACACUGCCCUAAAGCACUCAGUUUGGCCUACUUGGAAUAGAGUUUUUUGAGCAAAGUAACUAGUAAAAGAGGAAGGAAGAUAACAUUUAGGUAAGAAAACAUCAAGGAGAAGGCCAACCAAACUCAUAUAUAAAAGGUAUGAAAAGGUUUGUUACUAGUUUAAGUAUGACAGAGAAGGAAAGUUUAAGGAAUAAAAAGAAGAACAAAGUGAAGGAGAAGAAUAUAGCUUUUGAAUUUAGCAGAGUAAAGAUGGUUUCUGACUUACAAUGACUUGCCUUACAAUUUUUUGACUUUACAAUGGUACAAAAGUGAUAUGUAUUCAGUAGAAACUACUACAAGUGAUUCAUACAACCAUUUUGUUUUCACUUUCAGUAGAGUGUCCAAUAAAAUACAUGAGAUAUUCAACACUUUAUUAUAACAUAGGCCUUGUGAUAGAUAAUUUUGCCCAACUAUAGGUUACUAUAAGUGUGCUAAGCACACUUAAGGUAGGCUAGACUAAGUCCAGACAUUUGGUAGGUUAGGUGUUCUCUUUUCUCUGCAACCUCAACGAUGUCUGUUAUUUCUUGAUCUUUUAAUAACAGCCACUCUGUCUGGUCUGAGAUAGUAUCUCAUUGUGGUUUUGAUUCACAUUUCUCUAAUGAUUAGUGAUGUUGAGCAUUUUUUCAUAUGUACAAGGGCUACAGAAUCAGUCUUACCCCAAACCUCAGUGUCAGGCAAUUUACCCAUGUAACAAACUUACACGUGUACCCCUGAAUCUAAAAUAAGAGUUAAAAUAAUUUUUAAAAAGAAUAAUAGUAGUCAAGAAUGCCUCCAGGUUACCUCCACCUUCACUCUAUUCCCAAACACUUAACUCUGUUUUCAGCAUAAUUUCAGAGCAUUCUUACAAGACUUUGUGGGAAUUACUUAGCAGUUACUCAAAGACCACUCAGAAGACAUUUGCUGAUGAAAAUGAGGUUUGUCUUCCAAAUAUCACCACUUUAAUGAGAAGUAUAAUUGUUUAAAGGCCAGAAGAACAGGGUUCUGGUAUUCAUUUUGGGAUAACUGGGAGUUGAAUAAAAGUAAAGCAAAAUGUUGAUUUACUCUUUAUCUUUCUUACUCUCUGACAGAUGAAAAUGCCAGAGGAUGUAGUGAAUUGUAUUAACCAAAAAUAAAACCAAUUCCUUCUCGAGUUUAAUUCCAGAAUAUAAUGUCAUCCUUCCCUGAACACCACUUUUCUCAAGGAGCAGAAAUGCUCAACUGUGUUACAGUGGAACUUCAUCCAAGAUCAUCUUCUAUUAAGCUUUACAAAUUGCUUCAAAAAGCAGUGGGUAACCAUGCUAGUUGUGUGUAAAAUAUUUAAAAUAACUUAUCUUCGAGUGUUGUUGGGGCUGCAGAUUUGGAAUUUGGCAGAUCGUCUGUGUUUAGUGCUGAGCUAUUUUGGGAUUUCUUCAAACUUGAGCAAUAAAUAAGCUUCAAAUGAAAUAGGCUUUCGAUGUGACAGUGUUUACAGGAAACAUUAUGCUGUUACGAACUUCCCUUAGAAUCAACCCAUUUGUGAAACACCACAUUAAUAAGAGCAGUAUCUUUGGAGAUUGGAGAGUCCACCAAGGAUGCCCACUGGCUCCCUACAAAGUUUUUUAUGUGAGGACUCGGUCUCAGAUAUGGCUACUGGGAUUCUGUUCAAACUGAGUGAAGACAUCAUCAUCUUUCUUUGAGAUCUUCCUUGCUUUCUGGCCAAAGAAGUUAUUCCCUGACCCGACUUUCCAAAGAGUACUAGUUCCUUUUAGCAGUGAUUAGAAACCUGAUCUGAGUACUACUGUGUGUGCUUGUGACUAGUGUGGUUUUAUUGUUUCUAUGUCCUUUCAGCGAGCAGAUCUACAAUGAGGGAUACAUCUAAACAAAACUCCAUAUUAAUAAGUCCAGUUGAAAUCUAACAACAUAGGGUUCUUUCGCAUUCUCUUGCAUUCCAUAUUUGUAUAUUCGUUCACCCAUGGUGGCAACCCUGGCUAUUAGAAAUAUAAUUGUAUUUAUUUUGCUGUAUCCUACAAUAAAACAAAAAAAUUAAGAAUUACUAUACCAACAUCAUGAUAAAAAUACACAUACUAAGUAAAUCUGUUAUGUAAACUACAAGUGUGUUUGUAGCAUUUUUGUUUUUACACUAUAGCCUACUAAGUGUGCAAUUAGACUUCUUGCUCACUGGUUUCUGUUUACUUUUAAUUUUAGUAUUUACUCUUGUUUCCCUUCCUUUUUAAUUUUAUUUUUAAA